GUUAUAAGAAUUUGUUUAUAUUUGCAGAUUAAAUAAUAAAAUAAACACUUUUCCUGUUAUUUUAAAUUAAAAUUUUCUUCUGUUUCAGCUUGUGUACAGUUAUUCAAUCCACUAGUAAGAAUUCAGUGAAUACAUUAUUCCACACUAAACAUUUUCCUUCAAUUCUAAGAGAAACAUUUUUGCAAAUUGUUCUUCAAUGAUCUUCUUCUGUAUAUUUGAUUAUGAGGGAGUGAUGUAAAUGAGUGGAUAAAACUGGUGUUCCUUUUUUCAACAACAAAAUAGUAUUUUUUCUGCAUUUCUCCUUUCUUUCGACUAAUAUAUAUAAUAUGUUGUUGCUCUUAUACAAAAGUGUUUUUGUGUAUCUAUGACAGAACUCCAUUUUGUUUAAGGCCAUUAUCAUGUGAUUAUGAUGAAAUUUCCUAUUUCUUUUUUGUAGGAAAGCACACAUUCCAGUUCAAUUUCCUCUUCAGUAAUGGCCUAUUGAUCAUGAAAACAAAAGAUGUCUGAUCACCUAUAAAUACACAAAAUAAACAAAUAAAAUGUUAUACAUGGAGAGAGAAACAGAUUUAAUUUCUUGCUAACUGUAAACCAACUUAUUUUCGCGAGCGAUUUAUUUUCACAAGCAAUUUAUUUUCGCAUUUAGAAAUAUAAUGCGCAUAUA
rnacentral:lncRNA from 1 species